rnacentral:rRNA from 1 species
GACAGAGGUGCCAAGCGUUAGGCGGAAUCACUGGGCUUAAAGCGUGUGUAGGCGGAUGCCUAAGUACCUUGUGAAAUCCCACGGCUCAACCGUGGAACUGCUGGGUAUACUGGGCGUCUUGGGUCACCUAGGGGUUGCCGGAACAAAUGGUGGAGCGGUGAAAUGCGCAGAUAUCAGGAAGAACACCAAUGGCGAAAGCAGCUCUCUGGGACGGUACUGACGCUGAGACGCGAAAGCGUGGGGAGCGAACAGG